CUUGUAUAUUAUUAUAGAUAGAGAUAAACUGUAAACAGCCAUUAUGUUCAGCAAAGUAAGAUUUACAAAUAAGUCAGCAUAACCGAAAUGGUCAGUUGACCCCUUUAGGAGUUAUUGCCCUUUAUAGUCAAUUUUUAACCAUUUUUUCGUAAAUCUUAGUAAUCUUUUACAAAAAUCUUCUCCUCUGAAACUACUGGGCCAAAUUAAUCCAAACUUAUCCACAAUCAUCUUCGGGGUAUCUAGUUUAAGAAAUGUGUCCGAUGACCCGGCCAUCCAACCAAGAUGGCCGCCAUGGCUAAAAA
rnacentral:lncRNA from 1 species